rnacentral:lncRNA from 1 species
UGUAUUUUUUAGUAGAGAUGGGGUUUCACUGUGUUAGCCAGGAUGGUCACGAUCUCCUGACCUCGUGAUCCGUCCACCUCAGCCCCCCAGAGUGCUGGGAUUACAGGCAUGAGCCACUGUGCCCGGCCAAAAAAAAUCUCUUUUUAAAUAUCUCCUAUGAUUUUGGUUGAAUUUGUUCACCUAUAGAACAAAUUUAUGUUGUUUUCUGCUUAUCAUUAGAUGUAAAGGAGUAAAGUCCAGUGGGUUCUGCUGGCACAUUGGUGGGGAAGCUGAGAACUUUUAAACUCUUUCCCCUUUCUCCAGUGAACAAUCGACAGGAUAUGGGUUAUAGUUACAGUUAAAGGGUUUAUUGAACUAAUUGUCACUGCUGAAGUUCCUGUGCCCUCUGAUAGCUUCCUUGAAAAGUUUUCAUAGUUUAAAAACUCUGCUUGUCCUUAGCCUUUGAUCUCUUGCUUUGAUGCUCAAACAGAAGAAUGAUACAAGACUGAGGAUCUUGCCAGGCAAGGGCCCCGUGGUUAUGAAUGUGCUUCAGUUUCAUAAUGCCUCCUGCUAUGGCAGACAUCCUUGACAUCUGGGCGGUGGAUUCACAGAUAGCAUCUGAUGGCUCCAUACCUGUGGAUUUCCUUUUGCCCACUGGGAUUUAUAUCCAGUUGGAGGUACCUCGGGAAGCUACCAUUUCUUAUAUUAAGC